rnacentral:rRNA from 1 species
UACAGAGGUCUCAAGCGUUGUUCGGAUUCAUUGGGCGUAAAGGGUGCGUAGGUGGCGUGGUAAGUCGGGUGUGAAAUUUCGGAGCUUAACUCCGAAACUGCAUUCGAUACUGCCGUGCUUGAGGACUGGAGAGGAGACUGGAAUUUACGGUGUAGCAGUGAAAUGCGUAGAUAUCGUAAGGAAGACCAGUGGCGAAGGCGGGUCUCUGGACAGUUCCGUGAC